UCGUUCCGGGCUGGACAGGACGGAGGGGACUUCAACGGAUCUCACUUUAGGGAAGUACCGCGUUUGCACGGAGAACAGGGAUCUUCCCUGAGGGAUCUGGUUGCAGAAAGAGAAGCUUGAGCUCUUCAGGAGUCCAUCCUCCAAAAAAGCGGCUGGGAGGGCUGCGCAGGUGCAGGAUCUUUUUGGCUACUGGUGUGAAGAACAAACUGAAGAAAGGCAAAGGUAGAGGCAGGGAGCCCAAUUAGGAGACAGUAGUCCAGAUAACACCUACUAAGAAGAUAGAAGACUUACUUUCAUCAUCUGAAUCAAAUCCAAAGAGUGUCUGACAUUUCUUUUGUGCAAGGUAUUCUUUUAAAUAUUUUAAGAAUUUAGGUCCGAGAUGGUGACGUAGGCAGACCCUGAACUCACCUCCUCCAGGGACACAACAAAUCUGCACCUACACAGAGAGCAAUUCCUCCUGCAGAACUGAGGACUGACUGAACAGCUGAACAACAAAAGUAAGAGCGACCACAUAGAGAAUGGCAAGAAAGACGGAGACACGGUAAUAGGGAAUCCCCACUCUCACCCCUGUAAACUGCAGUGGGGAGGGACAGUAAUAAGGGACUAUGAGCAGAUUCAUCUGCUCUGAGGUACAGGAGAAAAAGUUGCAGUUUAAAAGGGCAACUAGAAUAUAAAGGAUCUAGCCCUAGAACUCUGCCAAAUGGCAGGGAGACUGCUGGAACUUUCUCUAGGUCAGGGGGGCUGUCAAGCACCACAGUUUACACAUUCCCCAUCCACCUUGACAGCAUGGACAGGAGCAUGGUCCAGACACCCUACCACCUCAACGAGCCCUGGCCCUCUACCCAUACCUGCCCCAACUGUCUCACUAAGGAGGCCCAAUACAGUGCAUACCGGGUCACCCUUGUCAGUGUUCACUGUAGCUCAAGACUACUUGACAAAGUAACACAGGCACAAAGCACCCUGGAACGCUCCAGACCCACACCACUUAAGCUCCAGACAACUUGCCAGGACACUGUGGUCCACACCUGCUUCUGCUCCAGCUGCCCGAAAAGGGCACCCCACACAGAAUGCCCCAGGAUGCCUCAGCCUGCACCCACUUUAGCUUCUGCUAUCACCCACAACACAAGAGAGCCCUGAGACCACCUCGUACCCACUUCAGCUUCAGCUGUCCUGCCAGUGUGCCCUCUGUGCAGAAAACCCCAGGAGCAGCCCAGCCUACACCUACUUCAGCUCUGGCCGUCCCACCAGCAUGGCCCCAGCACAGGGAGUCCCAGGACAUCCAGCCUAUGACAGCUACAGCUCUAGCCAGCUAGCCAAAGUCAUCAGGCACACACAAUCCACACAGGGGAUAACCAUACACAGGAUCAUUCCUUCAAGUUUAGGAGAAGUAGCUGUUCCACCUAAUUCACAGAAAUAAACACAGAAAGUCAAGCAAAUGGGGACAGAGGAAUAUGCUCCAAAUGAAAGAACAAGACAGAGCCUCAGAAAAAGAACUAAA